rnacentral:rRNA from 2 species
UGCAAGUCUGGUGCCAGCAGCCGCGGUAAUUCCAGCUCCAAUAGCGUAUAUUAAAGUUGUUGCAGUUAAAAAGCUCGUAGUUGAACUUUGGGCCUGGGCGGGCGGUCUACCUAUGGUAAGUACUGUUGCGGCCGGGUCUUUUCCUUCUGGCUAACUCUUCGGAGUGAACCAGGACGAUUACUUUGAGGAAAUUAGAGUGUUCAAAGCAGGCCUUUGCUCGGAUAUAUUAGCAUGGAAUAAUAGAAUAGGACGUUAUGGUUCUAUUUUGUUGGUUUCUAGGACCAUCGUAAUGAUUAAUAGGGACGGUCGGGGGCAUCAGUAUUCAGUUGUCAGAGGUGAAAUUCUUGGAUUAACUGAAGACUAACUACUGCGAAAGCAUUUGCCAA